rnacentral:lncRNA from 1 species
AAGGAUCGAUCGCGAUCUUUCAUGGUACUGUCUUUUGGCCGGCCACAGUAACAGAUGUCUCUCAAACUCGUGAUUUAUACUUAGGCAUGUAUAAUUAGGCGAGGAAUUUAAUCAUAUCUAACUGAAUUCUUCUUAGGAAAAGAAAUCUAUCAGGACUUGAUCAGUACGUAUAGUAAUUAUUGAUAAUAAGAUUUUCAGAGAAGGAGAGAUUAUAUUCAUCGUAAUUGAUAGAAAUUUAAUCAAAAGAACACACGAGACGAUGAAUUUCAAAAUAAACUUGUUAUUCAUACUUGUUGUCUUUAGCAUGUUUAGCAUGGGGUACCCAUGUCCAUCAAAGAAACCUGAAUUUUGUAAUCUCAGGUAUGACCCUGGUCCUUGCAUUAAGAAUAUUAAGAAUCCUCAGUUCAUAAUUCAAAGGAGAUAUUGGUUUUCGACAGAUACGGAAGAUUGUCAUUUUUUCGCGUAUGGAGGUUGCGGAGGAAAUAAUAAUAGUUUUAUGACUUAUGAAGAAUGCAUGAAAAUAUGCAAAUAAUAAUACUCUAUAUACCUUAACAAUGCAAAAUAUUUUAAAUCCAUUCGAAAGUAUAAAAUUUUUUAAAACAUAACAAUAUUGAGGUUUUCCUAUGAAUUGA